CAGCAGCCACGGUAAUACAGAGGAUGCAAGCGUUAUCCGGAAUGAUUGGGCGUAAAGCGACUGUAGGUGGCUUUUCAAGUCCGCCGUCAAAUCCCAGGGCUCAACCCUGGACAGGCGGUGGAAACUACCAAGCCGGAGUACGGUAGGGGCAGAGGGAAUUUCCGGUGGAGCGGUGAAAUGCGUUGAGAUCGGAAAGGACACCAACGGCGAAAGCACUCUGUUGGGCUGACACUGACACUGAGAGACGAAAGCUAGGGGAGCAAAUGGGAUUAGAUACCCCUGUAGUCCCUGUCUCUUAUAC
rnacentral:rRNA from 1 species